GAUGAACGCUAGCGGCAGGCUUAACACAUGCAAGUCGAGGGGUAACAGGGAUUGCUUGCAAUCCGCUGACGACCGGCGCACGGGUGCGUAACGCGUAUGCAACCUACCUUCUACAGGGGGAUAGUCAAUAGAAAUGUUGAAUAAUACCCCAUACGAUCUUUGAAUAGCAUUAUUUAAAGAAGAAAGUUCCGGCGGUAGAAGAUGGGCAUGCGUCCUAUUAGUUAGUUGGAGAGGUAACGGCUCCCCAAGACAUCGAUAGGUAGGGGUCCUGAGAGGGAGACCCCCCACACUGGUACUGAGACACGGACCAG
rnacentral:rRNA from 1 species